rnacentral:lncRNA from 1 species
CUGGAGGUAGAAUUGCCAAGAGCCAGGCUACUGCCUUCUAGGAUAAGGUAAUGUCUUAGGAAAUACCUCCUCCUAAGGAGGUUCAAGUAAAAGGUAAAUUUCAACUGGGAGGGAAGAUUCUAGUAUGGCAUGGUGCUUGUCAUGUGGAAGGUACAUUGGGCUGAUUACCAUGAUUUAAAACCAGUGUCUUAAAGGGCAUGGAAAAAGAAGAGUAUGUAAAAUUAAAAUGAGCAAUCUCUGAAUCUCUGAGGCAUAAAAAGAGGAGUACACAGAAUCAUCAAUGAUAACAGUGGCCAUGAUAUCAAUGGCCAUGGUGGCCACGGCUGUGGGAGUGAAGGAGACAUGUUGCCUUAGAAGUGGCAGUGGGGGAAACUGAUAGCAUUAACAAUCUCGGAGUGUCUUUUAAUAGCCCUCAAAGUUGGACACUAGGAACCAUGCCUCAUAUGUGGGCAUCAGCAAUGACAGCACUUCUGAUGGGCAGCAGUGAAGUCUGUGGGGGUAAAUGGCACCAUGAGCCUUUGAGAACAGGAGAGGAUUGAAUGUCUUGAGAACGCAGUGAGGUGUGACCUAUGAUUUCCAGAAUAAUUUGGCAACUGUGAAGGGGGGUAGAAAUUCAUAAAACAUAGGUGAGGUUGGAAUUGAAGAAAUACAGUUUUGUCGACUUCGUGAUCAUUUUCUUAACCCCUUUGUGAUAGCCUGAAAGCAGAAGAAAUAAGAUUAAGUGCCUGAUAGAAGAAAAAGUUGGCUCAGAUCUACAUAUUGUUGGGUCGGGCUCCAAAUUCCUUAAUAGGAUGCCCAUAGCACAAGAGUUAAAAACAAG